rnacentral:lncRNA from 13 species
CUUCAACAAAGAACAUGCCAUGGUUCAGCAGGGGGAUACUUCGUGGGAAUGUGUUUCCUGCCAGUUUUCUCUUCCAAAACAGUUUGUGUAUGAUUUAGCAGGACAGUCUCCAGAGGCCAGGAUUUGCCGAAAGUCAGCCAGGAUGCAGAAACCUCAGGCAGAGGGAGCACCCAAGGAGGAGUGUGGAAUCCCAGUCUAGGCAUGCACUGAUGGUGUACAGGACCAAGAUGAUCACACCCCCCAGCCAGGACAAGUCUCACCACUGCCCACCAGCCUCAAAGAGAUGAUUCUCACUUCUCUCACCUUUGACUUCAUUGGGAAACCUAGCCACAUCUUGACAGAGGGCCAGAACGGGGUGUGAAGAAGAGGAUGUGGCAAUCAUCUUGCACCCCAACGCUGGCCUUUCUGGCGAAGUCAACCAU